AGAGUUUGAUCCUGGCUCAGAGUGAACGCUGGCGGCGUGGAUUAGGCAUGCAAGUCGAACGAUCCUUGCUGAUUCAAUUAGGAAGCUUGCUUCUUGAGAGAAGAGGCGCUGGAUAGUGGCAAACGGGUGAGUAACACGUGAACAACUUUCCCUAAAGUCAAGCAUAGCAUCGUGAAAACGGUGGUAAUUCUUGAUGUUCUUCCGAGAUCGCAUGGUUUUGGGAGCAAAGUCGGGGACCUUCGGGCCUGACGCUUUAGGAUGGGUUCGCGGCCUAUCAGCUUGUUGGUGGGGUAAUGGCCUACCAAGGCAUAUGACGGGUAGCUGGUCUGAGAGGAUGGACAGCCACACUGGGACUGAGACACUGCCCAGACUCCUACGGGAGGCUGCAGUCGAGAAUCUUUAUCAAUGGACGAAAGUCUGAAUAUGCGACGCCGCGUGCAGGACGAAGGCUUUCGGGUCGUAAACUGCUUUUGUUAGGGAAGAACCCUGUAUGGUUAAUAUCCAUGCAGCUGACGGUACCUAACGAAUAAGCCACGGCCAACUCCGUGCCAGCAGCCGCGGUAAUACGGGGGUGGCAAGCGUUACUCGGAAUUAUUGGGUGUAAAGGGCAAGUAGGCGGUCUGUUAAGUGAGGGGUGAAAUUUACCGGCUCAAUCGGUAAACUGCCUUUCAAACUGGCAGACUUGAGUGUGAUAGGGGGAAGUGGAAUUGACAGUGUAAGGGUGAAAUCUGUAGAUAUUGUCAAGAACACCGGUGGCGAAGGCGACUUCCUGGAUCACAACUGACGCUGAACUGCGAAAGCUAGGGUAGCAAACGGAAUUAGAUACUCCGGUAGUCCUAGCCGUAAACGAUGAGCACUAGGUGUCGGACGUAAGUUCGGUGCCGCAGCUAACGCAUUAAGUGCUCCACCUGGGGACUACGGCCGCAAGGCUAAAACUCAAAGGAAUUGACGGGGACCCGCACAAGCGGUGGGACAUGUGGUUUAAUCCGAUGCUACGCGAAAAACCUCACCAAGGCUUGACAUGCUCGUCGUACCUUCCUGAAAGGGAGGGGUCAUUUAGUUGGACGAUGCACAGGUGCUGCAUGGCUGUCGUCAGCUCGUGUCGUGAGAUGUUGGGUUAAGUCUCGCAACGAGCGCAACCAUUGCCCAAUGUUGCCACCUUCGACUUCGGUCGGAGCGCACUCUUUGGGGACUGCCCGGGAUAACCGGGAGGAAGGUGGAGAUGACGUCAAGUCAGUACGGCCCUUAUGCCUUGGGCUACACACGUGUUACAAUGCACGGUACAAAGGGUUGCCAACCCGCGAGGGGGAGCUAAUCUCAAAAAGCCGUGCCCAGUUCGGAUUGGAGUCUGCAAUUCGACUCCAUGAAGCCGGAAUCGCUAGUAAUGGGAGAGCAGAUCGCUCCCGUGAAUACGUUCCCGGGUCUUGUACACACCGCCCGUCAAGCGAUGGGAGCCGGGGGCACCCGAAGUCCUAUGUAGGUAGGCCGAAGGUGAAACUGGCGACUGGCGCUAAGUCGAAACAAGGUA
rnacentral:rRNA from 1 species